rnacentral:rRNA from 1 species
GACGAACGCUGGCGGCGUGCCUAAUACAUGCAAGUAGAACGCUGAAGGAGGAGCUUGCUCUUCUGGAUGAGUUGCGAACGGGUGAGUAACGCGUAGGUAACCUGCCUGGUAGCGGGGGAUAACUAUUGGAAACGAUAGCUAAUACCGCAUAAGAGUAGAUGUUGCAUGACAUUUACUUAAAAGGUGCAAUUGCAUCACUACCAGAUGGACCUGCGUUGUAUUAGCUAGUUGGUGGGGUAACGGCUUACCAAGGCGACGAUACAUAGCCGACCUGAGAGGGUGAUCGGCCACACUGGGACUGAGACACGGCCCAGACUCCUACGGGAGGCAGCAGUAGGGAAUCUUCGGCAAUGGACGGAAGUCUGACCGAGCAACGCCGCGUGAAUGAAGAAGGUUUUCGGAUCGUAAAGCUCUGUUGUAAGAGAAGAACGAGUGUGAGAGUGGAAAGUUCACACUGUGACGGUAUCUUACCAGAAAGGGACGGCUAACUACGUG